rnacentral:rRNA from 1 species
UACGGAGGGUGCAAGCGUUGUCCGGAAUCACUGGCGUAAAGGGCGCGUAGGCGGCCUGGUAAGUAGGGGGUGAAAUCCUGACGGCUUAACCGCGAGGGCUGACCUUCUAAACUGUCAGGCUUGAGCACGGUAGAGGCAGGAUGGAAUUCCCGGUGUAGCGGUUGGAAUGCGUAGAGAAUCGGGAAGAACAUCAGUGGCGAAGGCGGUCGUGCUGGGCCGGUUGCUGACGCUGAGGCGCGACAGCGUGGGGAGCAAACAGGAUUACGGAAACCCUUGUAAGUCCGAGA